rnacentral:rRNA from 1 species
CGGGUGAGUAACACGUAUGCAACCUGCCUGCCACAGCCGGAUAAUCGGGAGAAAUUCCGUCUAAUACGGCAUAAUGCAUCGACGGGACAUCCUGCUGGUGCCAAAGGUUGAUUCCGGUGGCGGAUGGGCAUGCGUCGCAUUAGUUAGUUGGCGGUGUAACGGACCACCAAGACGACGAUGCGUAGGGGUUCUGAGAGGAAGGUCCCCCACACCUGGUACUGAGACACGGACCAGACUCCUACGGAAGGCAGCAG